AGAGUUUGAUCAUGGCUCAGAACGAACGCUUGGGCGCGCCUAAUACAUGCAAGUCGAACGAGGUAGCAAUACCAAGUGGCGCACGGGUGAGGAACGCGUGGAUAUCUGCCUUUCAGUGGGGAAUAACUAUCCGAAAGGAUAGCUAAUACCGCAUAAGACCACAGGCUCUGCGGAGCUAGGGGUCAAAGGAGUAAUUCGCUGAAAGAUGAGUCUGCGUGGGAUUAGCUAGUUGGUGAGGUAAUGGCUCACCAAGGCUACGAUCUCUAACUGGUCUGAGAGGAUGACCAGUCACACUGGAACUGAGACACGGUCCAGACUCCUACGGGAGGCAGCAGUAGGGAAUAUUGCGCAAUGGGCGAAAGCCUGACGCAGCGACGCCGCGUGAGUGAUGAAGGCCUUAGGGUCGUAAAGCUCUGUUGCAUGGGACUAAGAAAGUGAAUGUACCAUGUGAGGAAGGACCGGCUAACUUCGUGCCAGCAGCCGCGGUAAUACGAGGGGUCCUAGCGUUGUUCGGAAUUAUUGGGCGUAAAGAGUAUGUAGGCGGCCAGAUAAGUCAGGUGUGAAAUCCCCGGGCUCAACCCGGGAAGUGCAUUUGAUACUGUCUGGCUUGAGUAUGGAAGAGGGUAGUGGAAUUCCUGGUGUAGUGGUGAAAUACGUAGAUAUCAGGAGGAACACCGGUGGCGAAGGCGGCUACCUGGUCCUAUACUGACGCUGAGAUACGAAAGCAUGGGGAGCAAACAGGAUUAGAUACCCCAGUAGUCC
rnacentral:rRNA from 1 species